CGGACGGGUGAGUAGUGUCUGGGAAACUGCCUGAUGGAGGGGGAUAACUACUGGAAACGGUAGCUAAUACCGCAUAACGUCGCAAGACCAAAGAGGGGGACCUUCGGGCCUCUUACCAUCGGAUGUGCCCAGAUGGGAUUAGCUAGUAGGUGGGGUAACGGCUCACCUAGGCGACGAUCCCUAGCUGGUCUGAGAGGAUGACCAGCCACACUGGAACUGAGACACGGUCCAG
rnacentral:rRNA from 1 species